UCCACACGUGACGCACCAAGUCCAGACAUGUCCAGGCAAAGCGAUAACGUUGUCAAGAUGUGCACAAGGGGCCACAAUCAUUGAAGAAAGUGACAAGACGUGUACACACAUAAAAAUUUUUGCCAGUCAUCUUUAUCUUUUCUCGGAUAUGUCAAAACAACCGAUGAACAAAUUCCUCACAAAUGAAGGAAAUGGCUGAAACUUCCAUUACAACCCAGUGCUUGUGGAGGAAGAGGCAAAACAUAGAUUUAGCAAAUUCACCCUUGAUAUCAGGUAACAAAGCAGCGUCACAGGCACCGGCGCUUCGGGAAAUUUCCCGAAUUUCCGAUAACUCCCUUCGCGCCUGGCCCUGAGGAUCAAUGAAAUUUUAAAGGGGGUCAAUAAUGAUCAAACCGAAUAUGCACAGGCAAUUGUUCGGCAUAAUGAAGAUCCCAUUGAUAAAAAAUAUUGAUGUAAUUGAUAAUUAAAUGUUUAUUGAUAUAAACUUGUAUUAUAUAGUAAGGAAGAAAUUAUAUGAAAUAAAUAGUAGUGAGUUUACGUGCGUGUAGAAAGGAGGAAUGCAUUCAGCUGAUGAGGUUCCGGGAUUAUAUAUUUGAAAAGUCACUCCUAACUUCCAAAAACAUA